rnacentral:lncRNA from 1 species
GUCGGAGAACUUCUUCGACCAUUCUCGAUCGUGGUCGGCCCGAGUCGAAAGCCAGGAUGAGCUUCCUUCCAGCUGACCGAUCUUCUCCCGUGCAGCCGACAGCUCCGCUUCAAGAGAGCUGAUCUUGAAAGUUUGAGCCCAGGAUCGGUCGCUGGCGCGCUUCUUAUGUUCCUCGAGCUCCUUCUUGAAGUUCGCCUUCCUCCGACUGUAAUCCAUGAUCCCUUUCACAUGGAGGUUCCGAAAGUGGG